AGAGAGCAGCCAGAAAGCUGCAGCAGAGAGUCUAUGAUUUGUGUUGCCGGAUGCAGUCAGUGCUGCCUCCUCCUCCUCCACUCCUCCUCUCCAGCUGCUGCUACAGUGCAGUCGUCCAGCAAGUGGAGCUCUCCUCUGGCUGCAGUAGCCCGGAGCCCAGAGACACAGCACAGCCACCAACAGGAGCAGGGAAGGGGAGACACUAGCGCACAGAGCCAAGCCAGCAACACACACACACAGUGGCAGGCACUCCUCUUCUCGCACCACACCGUGGUUCUGCGCAGCACCUUCACUCGUUUGCUUGUUCACUCACUCUUUCACUCACCCCUCCGCCAGAUUUCUCCCUCGUUCCACUCUGCUCUGCCUGAGAAUGGUCCAGCCGGUGCCUGGGGCUCUUCUGUCGUGGCCUGUCUGAACACACACAAACACACACAUACUCAACAGACACACGGAUGCGCGAGCACAAACCGAACAGCAAUGUGAGAGAGGAAGUGCCUUCCCUGACAUCUGCUGCAGCUUCGAUCCGCUUCUAGAGCAGAAGCUCCCCCCCGCCUCGCUUGCUGCCACGAUAACGCGAGCACAAGGAUACCAACCACACCCCUCGUCACGGCCCACGCCUAAAAAAUCCACGCCCAGACCUGCACCAGCCCCAUCGUCACCAGGCUUACUGCCCUAAGCCUUCACCUGCCCUCCUGUACCACCCUACCCCAGAAAGCCUCUCUCCUUCUGGGCCCAGCCUCUCUCUUUCAGACCCCUCAGUGUCUCUAAUCUCCAUUGAUCUCCAUUCAGUCACAGCCUACAGCACUGUUGUAGUCAGGAAAGAAGGAUCUGAAGAGUGAACUUUCCCUCUGGGUUACAUGCUGAAUUGUUGGUGAGAUACAAGUUGAGACAAACAGUGGUAGAGUCAAUCUCUGCUCAGAUCAUUGUCUGUUGAGUGUGUUACAUACACACAACAAUUUUACAACACAUUUCACCUAUCGCCUUGAUACAUCGGAUCUUGCACUCGGAUCUUUCAGAAGAAUAAGGUGUAGCGGACAUAUCCAACCAAAGGGGACACACACCAACACACACAUCACGCUUUAGCCCGAGUCAGACGGAUUACUAUUAUUUUCCUGGACUGUCUUUGUGACCAUGGCGCACAUGAACAUGGCGCACAUGCGGGACACAAAAUGGCUGACACUGGAGGUGUGUCGGGAGUUCCAGAGAGGCACGUGCUCACGCUCCGACCAGGAGUGUAAGUUCGCCCACCCAGCCAAGAGCUGCCAGGUGGAGAAUGGACGAGUCAUCGCCUGCUUCGACUCCCUCAAGGGCCGUUGUUCCAGGGAGAACUGUAAGUACCUGCACCCCCCUGGCCACCUAAAGACCCAGCUGGAGAUCAACGGCAGGAACAACCUCAUCCAACAGAAGAACAUGGCCAUGCUGGCCCAGCAGAUGCAGCUCGCAAACGCCAUGAUGCCCGGCACACAGCUACAGCCUAUGCCUAUGUUCUCUAUGGCACCAGGCCUGGCCACCAAUGCCAGCGGCGGCAGCCUUCAACCCGUACCUGGGCCCGGUAUCGCCCGGCCUGAUGCAGGCAGAGAUCAUGCCCAGCCCGCAGGUCCUCAUGGCAGGCCACCCCAACCACGGCCAGGUUCCCAAUGCUGCAGCCGCAGCUGCACAGAAACUCAUGAGGACAGACAGACUGGAGGUGUGUCGUGAGUACCAGCGGGGCAACUGCUCCCGGGGGGAGAAUGACUGCCGCUUCUCCCACCCCUCAGACAGCACCAUGAUCGACACCAACGACAACACGGUCACCGUGUGUAUGGACUACAUCAAGGGCCGCUGCUCCAGGGAGAAGUGCAAGUACUUCCACCCUCCGGCCCACCUGCAGGCCAAGAUCAAGGCUGCACAGCAUCAGGUGAACCAGGCCACUGCCGCCGCAGCCAUGACUCAGUCGGCUGUCAAAUCACUGAAGCGACCCCUCGACGCAACCUUUGACCUGGGGAUCCCCCAUAGUGUCAUGCCACCCAUGCCCAAGCGGGCAGCCCUGGAGAAGCCUAAUGGGGCUUCUGCCAUGUUCAACACGGGCAUGCUCCAGUACCAACACGCCUUGGCCAACAUGCAGUUUCAGCAGCAGGCUGCCUUCCUCCCCUCAGGCUCAAUAUUCUGCAUGACCCCCACCGCCGGUGUUGUACCCAUGAUGCACGGUGGUACGCAAGCGUCUGCAGCCACCACAUCUGCCACAAGCGUUCCCUUCGCAACCUCCUCAGCCAAUCAGGACUCUUCCUUAUCAAAGUUGACUACCAACGAAUACAUGCAAUUGAUUCCAAUCAUUUCUGCCGAUCAUCUGAGUAGUCACAAGUAUCUGACUCAAAUGUAGUUCGAGUCAAGAACAAUCAAAUGACUGUGUGUUGGCACUGUACAAGUCUAAAGAGUUCAGCCUUUAUGUCCAUAAUGUUCAGAAUGUCAAGCAACGGACAGGAGGAGAAUCGGUCGUCAUCUCUCAGUCGCUCCGUAAUGCUGUUCUUGUCACACAUGCCAACAUCGGUGUGCCCAGUCGAUGCCAUGACACACAUACACAUACACACACACACACACACACACACACACACCUCCUUGUCCUCCAAGGCAUCACCCAGCUGAGAAGAGGAGUGUCUGUCUAUCCAUGCUGACGGACACUGAAUACAUUCACAAUACACCUGUGUGUUCAAACACAAUUUCUUUCUUACAUUUUUUUUUGCACACACAUGAGGCUGAGAGCGAGAUGUUGUGGCGUCUAACGUACAGAAUACUGUGUUGGUACGUCGGUAGACCAAGACAGCAUUUUUUAUUUGUUUUGUUUUUACAUUAAUACAUUUGUUUUCAUGGUUUACAAAAAAAAAAACAUUGAAAUGUGCACCUUGAAUUUGAAUUGAAAUCAGAAAGGCACAACACAUUUUUAGCAUGUACAGUUUUCUGUUUUUAAAAAGGCUUCUAGUGAAGCUAGAUGAUAAAAUGAGGGUCAGGGACAUAUGAAUGUUCUGGGUAAGAAACACACCUGUGUACCUUUGAAAGCACAGCCAUGCUAGCUUUAACCACCUAAUGUGUGCCAUAGAGGCCAUACAUCCCAAACAAGAGUGUUAUUUCAGCAGUGUUAUUCUGUUUAUGAUAAUGUGUUUUUAUGGCUCGAGUUUAGUUUUUUACAUCAUUUCUCCAUUGUGUAUUUUCUUUAUAUAUAUAUUGUGCCAUUUGAUUUUUGGUUGAUAAUUAGGAAUGGGUUCCUCUCCAGCCUUUGAUCUCUCUUGCAAUGAAAAAAAAAAUAGAGGUGCCUUUUAUCAAUUUGUUUUGCCUUUCUGUUUUUGCUUUAUUGUUGUAUUUAUCCGAUGGGGAGAUCUAUGACUCAGAGCUCAUAGUGACUGGGAGAGUUGUAAGUCAGUAGACUCUAAUGCCUGUUGAAGUGAUAUGGGGCGUACUAGCUCUCCAUGGAGGUCUCAUUUCCUUGUCCCCAACCUUAGGGAAAAUCCACUCAAAAACGAUCUUUUGGUAUUAUAUCAAAAUGUAGUUUUUGAGUUUAUUUUUUCGUUCUAGGUGGAGGGACUCUAAAAGUGUGUCUGGAAAGAAGCACUGUCAAACCAUGUGUCGUUGAAAAAAGAUACGUUUGAUUAGGUCAUAAGAAGAUAUACACUUGGUUGAGUGUUUUUGUGCUCCCCCAGAACUAUUACCUCUCAAUAGACACAUUUUACUUCAAUUGAGGUAAUACAACAAAUAACUAAUUUGAUGUGAAUUUAUCAAACAGAAGAAAAAAGUAUCUCACUUGUUUUGAUCAGAUUUGAACUGAUUCAGGAUACCGAAGCACAGUUCUGCUCAUGCACGAAGGGUUACCGGAGUAUAUGGCCACAUUCAAGGAAGGCUCAACACAGAAUUGGGGGAACAGACAUUUCAUUUAAAAACCCUUGUUUUCACACGCCAUUAUGUUUUGUGAUUUUGUUUUGUUGUUUUGACUGAGGUGUAAGAUCUCUUUACUGAUUGUAAUGUACUUCUAUUGAAGCCUUAGAUUACAGGACUGGGUUCCAUCCCAAUCAAAUGUACUUUCAAUCACCAUACAGGCAAUGAACACCAAUUAUAUAUUAUAGUUCGUACACAUACAUACACCUUAUAAUGUUUUGGUUUAGUUUUUUUUUCUCAAGUAACAAUUUACUCUUAAAUUUCAUUGAACUCAUGUGUUAUGUAUUACUUAAGGAUUUUAAUCUAUUUGAAUAUUUAGUUUGUAGAUUUCUGCCUUAUUAUAUUCUACUUGACAACAUUAUUAUAUAGCCGUUGUAAAUUUAGAGAUUUGGAUUUUCAAACCAUACUAAUGAUUAAUAAUAAUAUGUGGAGUCAGAAUAAGUAUUCACAUCAUUCUUGUAGCUGGACGCCUGAAGAAGUUGAUCAAACAUGUUGAUCAACGACCUUUUGGUAUUGAUACAAUGAACAGCAUCAGUUGGUGUGUUGGUGUGUUGCCGAGGCAUCUACUCUGGCUGAAAACUAAUGUUUUAACUAGCUACAAGUCAUUUGAAAACACGCUAUCUGUAAAAUGUUUUAGAACACCUACUCAUUCAAGGGGUUUUCUUUUAAUUAUUUUCUACAUUGUGCUCAGCAUAUGUGGGAACUCCUUCAAGACUGUUGGAAAAGCAUUCCAGGUGAAGCUGGUUGAGAGAAUGCCAAGAGUCUGCAAAUCUGUCAUCAAGGCAAAGCGUGGCUAUUUGAAGAAUCUCAAAUACAAAAUAUAUUUUGAUUUGUUGAACACUUUUUUGGUUACUACAUGAUUCCAUAUGUGUAAUGUCAUAGUUUGAUGUCUUCACUAUUAUUCUAGUGUAGAAAAUAGUUUUUUAAAAUUAAAAUAAAAACACUUGAAUGAGUAGGUGUUCCAAAACUUUUGACCGGUAGUGUAUAGUAUCGAAAUUUAGAUUGUCCAUGUUUAGAGAAGGAACAAAAAGUUAUUUUCUACUGUAUCCAUUAAAAACUAUAUAUAUAUAUUGUUUUAAUAUUUCUUAAGAUUGCCCUGAAUGUCAGCGCAAAAUGAACAGUGAGAUAGAUGGGUCUCUGGAGUUUGGUGAAUGGUGAGAGUAGAGGUGAGGUAGUGGACUUUGCUGAAUCGGGAAGGUCGGUAAUGAACGAACUCUAACCUAAGGGACGAAGGUUGACUUUUUGCACUUCUGUACAUAGUCAAUGAACAGAGAGAAAAAAAAACAUUUAUCAUAUUGAGAUAUUAUUUUGAAUAAAGAAUUCUAUAAUGAUAAGUACUUUUUUAGGUUAAUUUAAAUAAAAAAUAAAACUGAUAGACCAGCUAAACAAAUUUGCUUGCAAAAAGAAAGAAAAUGGUGUCAUUUUCUAGGCCAAUGCAUUCAGAAGAAGCUAUGCGUUUUUAAGCUUUUGUCAGUGGCUAGUAGUUUGCCAGGAAAUCCUCAAGGGGCGUAACCCCCACAUUCACUCCCACUCACUCCCCUUGUAGUAUACGAUAUACAAUAAAUAUCAUAUAUUGUCCAUAUUUCAAAUCUUGGAACAGGCCAUUCAUGCCUAGCCCUACGGUACAAUAACUAAAAAGAUAUAUAAACAAAACCAUUUCAAAUUUUAGUUUCAUUGCAUGUAAAAAAGAACACAAAUGUAAACAAUCUAUAUAAGUAGAUAUGGAAAGUUUAUAUUUUCAACUUACAAAAUUAUGUUUGGGGAGAAGGGAAAUAAGACUUCAGACAAGUAAUCGAACACUUGCACUUGUGAUAUACAUUUCUUACCAAGAAACUACAUGAGUUCUCAAGAAUAAAAUGUAACGUUAACACAAAACCACCCCAGAAAUAUUCUCUAAAUCACCGUAAGAUCACUCAAGUCAACAUGGACUCACAGGGCACAGCUAAUGCUACCAGCCAACUGUGCACUCAGCAGGUGAAGGCUCCCCACCAUACCAAAUGUAUAGGUAAAUACUCUUUCAAAUGAAUGUAACCGUCUUCAGUCAAGGUCAGCCUAUUUCUGACUCGAGGUCACUGUAUAAGUGCUAUGGAACCAAAGUGUCCCUUUCUCCAAACCAACCAGAGCUGCGUGGGCAAAUUUCACUGUCUCUCAGCUUAAACCAAGGUCUUUCUUCCCUGCCGGGGGCAUACAUGCUUGACUGUUUAGUAUGUGUGAAAACAUACUUUUUUUUGCUUAUAGUUGCUACAGAAUAAUGUACUACUUCUUGUCUUCAAAUUUGUUUUAUGCACAUUUUAUUGUUGCCAUAAUUGACUCUUGCUGUUCUGAAUUAUAUAUAUAAAAAAAAAUUGAAUAAAAAAACUGAUUUGCUCACGCAA